rnacentral:lncRNA from 1 species
AGAUGACCAGCGCGAAAUGUGGACUGCCCCAAGCCUUUGGGACGUGCCUGCGGAGCGGAGCCGGAGCGAGUGUUCUUGGAGAGGUCGUGAACUCAGGCCACCUGGGCUCACGGUCAACUUGUUCUGCGCAGUUCUCAAUGGAGCCCCGGACCCACCGGCUCCUGGCUCGCCUGCUUCCCACCCCCUCUUUUUUGCUGCUCCUCUCUCUUUUAAAUGUGUGAAGUUGAAGUGGAAAGCAGAUAGGUGCUUCGUAUACUUUGGCGGAAUAUUUGAAGCGGGAUCACUGUGCAUGCCCAAAUGAAUGUUCCCCUAGCAGUGCCACCUUGUGCGAAUGUGAUUGCAUGUUGUUUGCUAUUGUUUAUGUCUUCAUUUAAAACGUAGUGUGCAGACCUAAGGGCGUGGCUGGACUAAGCAUUUUCCAGAUUUCACACCAAAACCUUUUUCUGGUGGACUCAUACAUAUUAUUUCCAAGAUUGUCUCAGACUUUGGAUUGUUUCAGACGUACAGUCAAAAGUGGGAGCUAAAAGCUGUGGUCAUCAGUAUUGCUGAUCCUGUUCUUACGGUGCACACUGUUUGUUGAAUCGGUGGUGGACAAGGUGCAAGUGGGGAAGCCGGAAGAAAACGCCAGGAGCCACAGGAACUGCAGACGCUGCCUUCUCUCCUGGCUGGCACAGCAGCUGUGGUGGCGGACACGGUAUAUUCUCUCCUCCUGUGGCAGACCCAGCGGGCACAGCCGUGGCAGUAAUGUUGCCGCCUCUUAGGUGGAGCUCACGUAUCUGUCCAGCACAGAGUAGCCCGUGAUCAAGUGAGCAAGUGCCUCCUGGCGGGCACGCGCAGUGCUGUGAAUGAUCUCAGCUGUUACAUAACCAUUAUUUACAAAACGUGGGGCGAGAGAGCCUGGACACAACAUCUUGGCUAAUUCACGUCCUCAUGAGAAUGUCAAAGGUGCUCCUGUCUUUGAACCCCAGUGUUCCAGCAGACUGAGUGAUGUACUAAAGAGACAAGGAAGCUGGAGGAACUAUGAAGUGCGUGCUUGGCCAUGACCUAGGCUUGUAGCAAUGAUCUUGGCUUUUAGGAGAACAGAAGUAGAGCACAUUGGACCAUGGGCCCCAGUGAUGCAGCACUGCGCCAUCUGACUUUUUUUUAAAUGUCUAUUCAGGUCCUCUGGCCACUUUUUAUUUUACAAUUUGUUUAUUCUUUCAACAGUGCUGGGUCUUCAUUGCGGCAUGUGGACGUCUCUCGUUGCAAAGCAGGGGCUCAGUAGUUGCCGUACAUAGACUCUGUUGCCCCGUGGCAUGUAGGAUCUUAGUUCCUUGACCAGGGUUCAAACUUGCAUCCUUUAUGUUGGGAGGGGGAUUCUUAACCACUGGACCACCGGGGAAGUCCCUGCCAUCUGAUUUUAAGAGCAAUGCCCUGGGGGUUCACCGGAAACUUUUUGGGCUGGCCGGGUCACUGGGAACAGAAAUGGUAGAAGAGACAGCGGUGCUCUGUGCUCGGCGGGGGAGUGCCUGACGCCCUCCUUGGCUCUGUCGUGUUGCUGCUUCUCUGCUACAGAGAAGACGUGACCUCAACAGGUUCCAGUGGGUGUGGGAAAGCCUACCCUUCUUCUUUAGUUCACUGGGCUUCGUAAUUCUUCAUUCUAGCCCUCACAUGGAAUGUAUGGUCUAUAUCAGAUUUUAGGAUUUCUUUAUACUUUCUUAUCUUAUUCUCAAGUUAUUUCUCAUUCUAUGUUAAAAUUUCCUGAAAAUUCACUGUCUUUUUCUUUUUUUUCCUAAUCACUCCAAUUGCAGCCUCACACUUGUCCAACAUAAUAUCUGGCCGGGCCUCCACCUCUAAGACUAGUUCUUACACUUAUAGCUGGAUGCAAGCCGUUAGAGUGAACACCAUCCUUGUGCAAGAGAAAACUGGCUUUGGACACAUUCUGCAAUUAUACAUUUUCAACUUAGAGCUCCAUGCUGUUUGUUAAAAGCCCUCUUUGGGGGAAUUAUAAAGUGCCUAAACCUUAUGAUUUUGGAACAAAAAUAUAGAACAGGACAGUGUUUCCGUGCCUUGAAAUCAGAACUGCAUCCCCAUUCUCUAAACUUCACUUUUCCUCUACAAGCAUCCUGACCACAUGUGUGUCUUUCAACCAAAUCAGUUGUGAGAUGAAUUGGAAGAGAGCAUGGAAUCCUUUUCUGAGUCUAGGUUUCUGGUCUUAAAUGUACUUUAAACUACUCCCCGCUUGUAUAACUUAUCUUUUCCACACGUGUGAAUAGAGUGAAACCAAGAUGGGCGUCUCUUCCUGCAUUUUGGCUCUCACUUGGUCUGAGAAAAGAGAAACUGGCCCUGGAUGGUUCACACAUCUCAUCAACUUUUUCCAGAGUGGCUCCUGCUGCCUGAGUUGGUGACAGCCUCCCUGGACAUGAUCCAUUCCACCCUCUCCUUCAUCCCUUUGUGCAGCUGCUGCGUUUUCCUCCAAGAUUCCGUGUCUGCAUUCUGGCAUCUGCUCAGCAGCUGGGAGAAAUCCCCAUGGGAUAACGCAAAGGACCACUUGGUUAGGAAACCCCUGGAAGGUGAGGAUGCUUUAAUGGGUCAGGUCCUGGAUCACGUUUAUGAAAUGCCCUCGUAAUGUCAUGAGGCUGCACUCCUUUCCAAGGCCCAGAGGCAACUUCAAGAUGUGCGGACACUCAGGAGGCCAUGUCCGUUUGUUUUCCAAGUUUGUUUAGCUCAUUGGUGACAUCAUAAAAUCACUGUCACCUAGGCAAUGGAGCACGUUGCUAUGGGAACCUCAAAGCUGAUAACACUGCUUUAAAAUGUUGACAGUUGGAAAAGCCUCCUUUUUCCUAUGCUCACACCAAUAGAGAUGCAUGUUUGGGGGAUGUUUGGCUUAAAUAUUAACAUUUAAAGUUUGAUAAUUUAAAGUACUUGGAGACAAAUAAUUUGUGACACUUAAAAUAUUUAGAAUACUGAAAAUAUGGGGAGAGUAUUACCAUCGAGAUGCAUGAAAAGAAGCCCUGUGUGCUGGAACUCUCACAGGCCUGGUGAAGUCAGAGUUGUUAUAAGGAAGACAUAAAGUCUCCCUGCAGAGCUGAGGGCAGCACACACAUGACACAUUUCUCUCACGUCCUGUCCUGGAUUCAGGCCACAGAUGAAUGAUUUACGCAGACUCAGCACGCUUCUUUUCUAUUUCACUUCCCAUCUCCUGAGGUUUCCUGGUUUAUUGGUUUAUGUAAUUUAUUGAAUCAUGACAGGCGCCUUUCAUGAAACCAUGACCCGAGUUACAAGCCAUAUCUUCCCACACAU